rnacentral:rRNA from 1 species
AGCAGCCGCGGUAAUUCCAGCUCCAAUAGCGUAUAUUAAAGUUGUUGCAGUUAAAAAGCUCGUAGUUGAGUUUCGGGGUCAGUAGGUUGGUCAUGCCACUGGUAUGUACUGGUCUCGCUGAUUCCUCCUUCCUGAUGAACUGUAAUGCCAUUAAUUUGGUGUUGCAGGGAAUCUGGACUGUUACUUUGAAAAAUUAGAGUGUUUAAAGCAGGCUAACGCCUGAAUACAUUAGCAUGGAAUAACGAAAUAGGACGUUCGAUCCUAUUUUGUUGGUUUCUAGGAUUGACGUAAUGAUUAAUAGGGAUAGUUGGGGGCAUUAGUAUUCAAUUGUCAGAGGUGAAAUUCUUGGAUUUAUUGAAGACUAACUACUGCGAAAGCAUUUGCCAAGGAUGUUUUCAUUAAUCAAGAACGAAAGUUAGGGGAUCGAAGACGAUCAGAUACCGUCGUAGU